rnacentral:rRNA from 1 species
CCUACGGGAGGCAGCAGUGAGGAAUAUUGGUCAAUGGGCGCGAGCCUGAACCAGCCAAGUCGCGUGAGGGAAGACGGUCCUAUGGAUUGUAAACCUCUUUUGUCGGGGAGCAAAAGACGCCACGCGUGGCGUUCUGAGAGUACCCGAAGAAAAAGCAUCCGCUAACUCCGUGCCAGCAGCCGCGGUAAUACGGAGGAUGCGAGCGUUAUCCGGAUUUAUUGGGUUUAAAGGGUGCGCAGGCGGAAGAUCAAGUCAGCGGUAAAAUUGAGAGGCUCAACCUCUUCGAGCCGUUGAAACUGGUUUUCUUGAGUGAGUGAGAAGUAUGCGGAAUGCGUGGUGUAGCGGUGAAAUGCAUAGAUAUCACGCAGAACUCCGAUUGCGAAGGCAGCAUACCGGCGCUCAACUGACGCUCAUGCACGAAAGUGUGGGUAUCGAACAGGAUUAGAUACCCCUGUAGUC